GACGAACGCUGGCGGCGUGCUUAACACAUGCAAGUCGAACGAUGAAGCCGGAGCUUGCUCUGGUGAAUUAGUGGCGAACGGGUGAGUAACACGUGAGUAACCUGCCCUUGACUCUGGGAUAACUGCUAGAAAUGGUAGCUAAUACCGGAUACGACCCUCGGAGGCAUCUCCAGGGGGUGGAAAGAAUUUCGGUCAAGGAUGGACUCGCGGCCUAUCAGCUAGUUGGUGAGGUAACGGCUCACCAAGGCGACGACGGGUAGCCGGCCUGAGAGGUUGACCGGCCACACUGGGACUGAGACACGGCCCAGACUCCUACGGGAGGCAGCAGUGGGAAUAUUGCACAAUGGGCGCAAGCCUGAUGCAGCAACGCCGCGUGAGGGAUGACGGCCUUCGGGUUGUAAACCUCUUUUAGUAGGGAAGAAGCGAAAGUGACGGUACCUGCAGAAAAAGCACCGGCUAACUACGUGCCAGCCGCCGCAGUAA
rnacentral:rRNA from 1 species